rnacentral:piRNA from 1 species
UCGAGCAUUGUAUUCUCAGUUUUGAGGUCGU